rnacentral:rRNA from 1 species
GACGAACGCUGACGGCGUGCUUAACACAUGCAAGUCGAAGGGAGUGGCGAACGGGUGAGUAACACGUGAGUAACCUGCCCUUUUCGUUGGGAUAAGCCUGGGAAACUGGGUCUAAUACUGGAUGGAUUGGGAUGGGCUCGCGUCGUAUCAGCUGGUUGGUGGGGGGCUGGCUUACCAAGGCUUUGACGGGGAGCCGGCCUGAGAGGGUGGUCGGGCACACGGUGACUGAGAUACGGCCAAGACGCGUACGGGAGGGGGCAGUGGGGGAUAUUGCAAAAUGGAUGAAAGUCUGAUGCAGCGACGUCGUGUGGGGUAUGAGGGCCUUCGGGUUGUAAACUCCUUUCGCCCGCGGAAUGGUAGUGGGUAAAGAAGCGCCGGCUAACUACGUGCCAGCAGCCGCGGUAAUUC